UGCUUUACACAUGCAAGUCGAACGGCAGCACGGGGCAACCUGGUGGCGAGUGGCGAACGGGUGAGUAACAUAUCGGAACAUAUCCGGAAGUGGGGGAUAGCUCGGCGAAAGCCGGAUUAAUACCGCAUAUGCCCUGAGGGGGAAAGGAGGGGAUCCGCAAGGACCUUUCGCUUUCGGAGUGGCCGAUAUCGGAUUAGCUAGUUGGUGGGGUAAAGGCCCACCAAGGCGACGAUCCGUAGCUGGUCUGAGAGGACGACCAGCCACACUGGAACUGAGACACGGUCCAGACUCCUACGGGAGGCAGCAGUGGGGAAUUUUGGACAAUGGGCGCAAGCCUGAUCCAGCCAUACCGCGUGAGUGAAGAAGGCCUUCGGGUUGUAAAGCUC
rnacentral:rRNA from 1 species